UUCAUUAAAAAAGAAUGGUUUAGUGGUCAAUUUUAAGGGCUGGUUGUUACAAAAUAAAAAUCUUCAUUUUCAAAGUAUUGAUUCCAUUUUAUGUGCAUUUUCCACUUAACUAUGCACAGUGGUUAAAAAAAUUCAUAAUGAAGGUUUAAUUUGAAUGGUUAAACGCGUAUGAUUUCCAAGAUGUCUACGUCAAUGUUAGUAAUAAUUAAGGAAUUUUGUUCCAUACAAAAUGCUUUAUUUAACCUUCAUGCCUUCAUUCAGAUAAUUAUACAAAUGCAUACAAUUAAAGGUUUAAACUCUAUUUCGGUUCACAGCUCAAUUCAUAGGAAAGUUGAAUACAGAAAAGCAAUGCACCAACAGAAUAUGUCUGAGACACCAUUAAAAAAACGAUAACACUUGUUCAUUUAAAUCUCUGAGAAUAGACUGGAAUAAUUAUCCUGUGAGAGAAUCUCAUUAGGAGGGUCUCCCUUUACAUUAUCAUAGGGCAAAAAAAAAAAAAAAAAUCACCAUUUUACAGUAAAAGGAAAAAAGCUCUGAGUAUAUUUACAAUACAUACACUAUACAUAAAUACAAGAACAACACUUACAUAAUAUUAAUAAACUUAUAACAGGGAUUGCCUAAACACUACAGAGUAUAUAAAAUGCAGAGGAAACUAUUAGGAAAUUAGAUCUUUAAGUCAGAGAAAUAAAUUCAUUUGCAAUUAAACUCUGAACAGAAAACCAAACAAAGAUUUACGAACUCAACACAUCUGCUUUGCCAGCAUCAUUGGGGGACCUUAUUCUUAUUUUUUUUUUUUAAUAUGUAGGAUUUCCUCUGGGCACUCUAGCUCUCUGAGAUCAGAAACAUACGAAUCAUUUGUAAAGUUACAUCCAUAGAAUGAAUUAGAUGCAGCCCACCAUUCUUUUUGCUG